UACGUAGGGAGCAAGCGUUGUCCGGAAUCAUUGGGCGUAAAGCGCGCGUAGGCGGCCCGGUAAGUCCGCUGUAAAAGUCCAGGGCUCAACCCUGGAAAGCCGGUGGAUACUGUCGGGCUAGAGUCCGGAAGAGGCGAGUGGAAUUCCUGGUGUAGCGGUGGAAUGCGCAGAUAUCAGGAGGAACACCGAUGGCGAAGGCAGCUCGCUGGGACGGUACUGACGCUGAGGCGCGAAAGCUAGGGGAGCAAACAGG
rnacentral:rRNA from 1 species